rnacentral:antisense_RNA from 1 species
CUUCACCGAUCCGAGCAGCAGGGGCUGCUCCUCGGUCCGGUCCUGGCCGUAGGUGGCCAGCAGCGCCUGGGCCUC